GUACAAAAGUGAGUGAGUUUACAUUAAGCUUUCUGCCCAUAUAAGACACUUAAGUUCUUGAGGAACUGCAAUUCCUAACUGCAUUGUCCAAUUUACAGUAGCUAUUACAGCGAAAAAAUGCCAUGCUAUUGUUUGAGGAGAGUGCAGAACAACAAAACACUUUUUUCACUGCAACAGGUUUGAUACAUUCACGUAUGAAGGUAAAAUAUUUACUUACAUUCUGAAAUCUUGCUCUGAUUUGUCAUCCUAAGGGUCCCAGAGAUAACAUGUAGUGUCGUUGUUUUAGAUAAAAUCCUUUAUCAUAUCCUAAAACGGUCCAUAUAGUAUGCACAAUCUAAAUUGUAUUUCCACUUGUUCAACUUGCAAAGAAAGAAAUCUGAGAAAAUUCAAACGCUAAACGUUAUUUCAACCAGUCAAAUUACAUUCGUAUUUAUCCCUCACAAGUGAAAAAGUAACCAACCUUUGCUAGAUCAGUCUGCAUUCAGUCAAUCCACUGGGAAACCAAUUUUAGCUAGGAAGGCAUCAUGGCCAUAUGGCAUCAUUGCGUGCCGAUGACACGGGCUGUGUUCCCUUGAUUGACUGUAUCUUUGUCAAAUGACCACCUAUCAUUUUGAAACCAAGCUAGCUAGAUAGCCAAUGCGCUGUGCUUUAUGAGAGUAUGUGGAAACCCUUUGUCCAUUGCACAAACUUUCAGCUAACCUAGCGCGCCAGGAGGCUAGUUCUGUUUGGACAUUUAUGCGUAACCCGCUUCGACAUAUUCUUGCAUAUCUGUGAGUUAUGAAAACGAAGUGUUUUGCAAAUGUUGAACUUACAAUAUGGCUACUUUUACUGGAAAAGCUAAAUGAAAGUCCAGGUAUACAGAUUUUGGACGAUAUUCUAGCAGAAAUCUACCGGGAAAGUGUCAUAGACAACAGCUAAAGGAGAGGACGCGAACAUUACCGUAAACUGACCGACUUCAAAGAGACCACAGUCAAGUCCUCCAUCCCCCACUUAGUCUGAUUGCUGCUCUCUCUGGCUCCACAACAAACCCCCGCCCGGCCAUCUAGAGGUGUGAAUACCCAGCCAGCCUACAAGUGGAGGAUGGCUGCAAUCCACUCCCAGUUAGACUAGGUCUGUUCAGGCCCUGGGGGACGUGAAGGACACCCAGAACUCCUUGGAAAAAGCAUCAACACCAUUGACGACGUGAAAUAUGCUGGGAUGCAACACAGUCCGUUGGCUCAGCUGUGGAGAACCUGAAGAAUAUCUUCUCAGAUGGUGGCAGACACUCGGUUAAUGAUAAAGCAAGCUGAACUGCUGGAGAACCACUACAGUCUGAUGAACCUGGAGUGCUCAUGGAAUGAUCUCAUGUACGGCAUGGGCAGCAAGAACACGCACAUGAACCUCAUUCGAAAAUAUACUGAAGAAAAAUAGAAACGCAACAUGCAACAAUUUUAAAGAUUUGACUGAGUUUACUGAGUCAUAUGAGGAAAUCAGUCCAUUGAAAGAUAUUCAUUAGUCCCUAACCUAUGGGAUUUCACAUGACUGGGAAUACAGCUAUGCAUCUUUUGGUCACAGAUACCUUUAAAAAAAGGUAGGGGCAUGGAUCAGAA